rnacentral:rRNA from 1 species
ACGGAAGGCAGCAGUGGGGAAUAUUGGACAAUGGGGGAAACCCUGAUCCAGCGACGCCGCGUGAGUGAAGAAGUAUUUCGGUAUGUAAAGCUCUUUAAGCAGGAAAGAAAAUGACGGUACCUGCAGAAUAAGCCCCGGCUAACUACGUGCCAGCAGCCGCGGUAAUACGUAGGGGGCAAGCGUUAUCCGGAUUUACUGGGUGUAAAGGGAGCGUAGACGGUUUGGCAAGUCUGAAGUGAAAUGCGGGGGCUCAACUCCUGAACUGCUUUGGAAACUGUCGAACUAGAGUGCAGGAGAGGUAAGUGGAAUUCCUAGUGUAGCGGUGAAAUGCGUAGAUAUUAGGAGGAACACCAGUGGCGAAGGCGGCUUACUGGACUGUAACUGACGUUGAGGCUCGAAAGCGUGGGGAGCAAACAGGAUUAGAUACCCUGGUA